AAGCCAUGGUGAGGGCAUUUGAGAAGCAAAUCAUAAAAACGCUCCCAAGUUUGAUGGAAUUGUUCUUCAUUUUUCCUUUUAAAAGUUGUAACGACCCAGUCAUUUGCCU